UCCGUGCUUCGCCGCCUUCGGGAGAUUUGUGUCGGACGAUAAGACCGGACUGGAGAGGAGCGCAAUCACACCUGUCUGCACAGUCGCACAAAGUGUUUCCACAUCUGCAUGGCCAGCGGGGUAUGACACGCAGUAUUCACGACGUAUGCUCGUGCCAGAUUCUGAUGCUCUGAUGCUACUGGAGGGCAAGGAGAACUACGGCGUCUAUCCGGACAGAUAAUUUUAAGUGGCGGGAGUAGUGACAUAAAGAACGACUGUAUAUCCACCUUCUGGCGCUGUGACGAAAGGACUGCCCGGCGGAUCAGUUCAGCUGGCAGUCAACCGAGGGCAGAGACAAGACUCUGAUCUGCGAUGGUACCACCAGUGACAGCUGUGACAAUGUCCACGAUGAGGCCGACUGCUGCAAGCGACCUGAGAGUUUCAGUGUCCCAUCAACCAGCUUUGCAUCGGCCGCCCUGCUCUGCGAUGGCCGUGCCUCGGAUAUUUUCGCGCACCGAACCAAAAAUCGAGCUUUAAUGGCUCCAUCGAAGAAAUUAAGUAACUAGACUUAAGACCGCUAGACCGCUUAGAAAUUAAAGACUUUAAAAAUGCAAUAGAGAACCUGCCGGCUAUGCCAUAUGAGGUGCAACGCGACCAAGCUGCGGAUGAAGAUGGAGCGAAAGACUAUGGAUGAGUAUGCCAGGCUACUACUACCACAAUGCCUUCUACAAGGACCCAAGGUCCGAAGGCGACACUAGCCACUGUACAUCUUACCAUUAAUAUUGUCUUUGGUAUUGGAGAGUAGCGGCACGUGUUCCGCCGUUCCCGUACGAUUGGUUUUUAUUUAAUAAUGGUUUCCUUAUUUUUUUCGUUAAUAAAUUGAAUUGUAGGUCA